CCUGCUGGUGCCCUAAGAAACAUGGAGCCAAUGGUCAGGCAUGGGGCCAGUGACCAGACAUGCAUCCUGUAAUACCAGCACCCAAAAGAUUGAAGCAGAAGAAUCAGUAGUUCAAGGCCAGCCUAGGCUACAUGACAAAAAUUUGGAAUCCAUCAAAUAAAGAAAUAAGAGGAGCAUGCUGGUAGAGUAUCAAAGUGAACAAGGC
rnacentral:lncRNA from 1 species